UUUUGGCAGAUUCUGUGUGGAUAUCAUAAGGAUGCCUACUCAUGUGCCAUUCUAACCUUACUCACUACUCUGGACUGGGGCUCCAAUGCUUUAUAGCACCAGAUGCUGUUCUGAUUACAAAGUCACACGUCCUUGUGACUAAGCCACCCUUAGCGAUAUAUUUUGGACGGAGGUGGAAAAAUCUGUCAAAUGAAAACCUAAGUGGGAGCUAAAAGACGACACUGAUCCAUUGAAACAAACCAAGAGAUCUUAAGAGAAAAAAACGGGGAGAGAGCGUGUGGAAGACUUAACUCUUUAAAAGGGAGACAUCCCACUGGAAGAUGGAAAGCCCUUCCCAGACACAACUGGUUAAUCUGGUUUUGUAGAGUUGUGAUGGAGACUGAGCUACCCUCUAUUUGCCAACGAGACACCCUACCCCAGGUGGUCUCCCCAAGUCACCUACCGGACAGAGCAGAUGAGUGUACUUUGAGGCCUUGUAUCUGAGAAAGGUACUGUCAGCAC